GAUGAACGCUGGCGGCGUGCCUAAUACAUGCAAGUCGAGCGAACAGACGAGGAGCUUGCUCCUCUGACGUUAGCGGCGGACGGGUGAGUAACACGUGGAUAACCUACCUAUAAGACUGGGAUAACUUCGGGAAACCGGAGCUAAUACCGGAUAAUAUAUUGAACCGCAUGGUUCAAUAGUGAAAGACGGUUUUGCUGUCACUUAUAGAUGGAUCCGCGCCGCAUUAGCUAGUUGGUAAGGUAACGGCUUACCAAGGCAACGAUGCGUAGCCGACCUGAGAGGGGGAUCGGCCACACUGGAACUGGGACACGGUCAAGACUCCUACGGGAGGCAGCAGUAGGGAAUCUUCCGCAAUGGGCGAAAGCCUGACGGAGCAACGCCGCGUGAGUGAUGAAGGUCUUCGGAUCGUAAAACUCUGUUAUUAGGGAAGAACAAAUGUGUAAGUAACUAUGCACGUCUUGACGGUACCUAAUCAGAAAGCCACGGCUAACUACGUG
rnacentral:rRNA from 1 species